GGUGAAUCAUCUUGACGUAAUUAUACUCUUUGGUCAACACGGUGGAUUUUGGAUAUUUUGUCAACAAACAGCUUCUCUUUCUGACAAAAGCAGAGUGGACAAGCUGCUGGCUCGAGCAGCUCUGUGAGUAGCUGCUGGCUCCGCUGCCUCCUCACACCUACCAAGAUAAACCCAAGCGACCCACUUUCUCCUGCCGUUGCUCCUGAUGCUGGCGACUCGGACUAACUCCUGCGCACUCGCUGAUGUCUCCGUUUAACGGCUCAUCCUCCCCUGAAACUGGAGCGGCAGAGGAAGCAGGAAGAUCCUGAGGGGACGCCGUAGGAAGGUGCCACACAAAGGUGGGGGACGAUAGUGCCUCCCGUAAACGGACACAGCUGCAUCCUCACACCUGCCAAGGUAACAACACACCUUCACUCCUUCCUGGCUCUUUCCUCUCUCUCCUGCAUCGCUUUCUGUCAAAU